rnacentral:snRNA from 1 species
AUCAAAAUGGGUCAAAAUUCAU